UACGUAGGGUGCAAGCGUUGUCCGGAAUUAUUGGGCGUAAAGAGCUCGUAGGCGGUUCGUCGCGUCGGCUGUGAAACCCGGAGCUCAACUCCGGGCCUGCAGUCGAUACGGGCGGACUUGAGUGUUGCAGGGGGAGACUGGAAUUCCUGGUGUAGCGGUGAAAUGCGCAGAUAUCAGGAGGAACACCGGUGGCGAAGGCGGGUCUCUGGGCAACUACUGACGCUGAGGAGCGAAAGCGUGGGGAGCGAACAGG
rnacentral:rRNA from 1 species